GCCCUCCGGGUCCGCGGGGCUGCCGAUCCAGGUCCUCUGCAGGGACCCCACACGCUCCUCCACACCUCCUCCUCCUCCUCCUCCCUCCUUCUCCUCCCCCCUCCUUCCUCCUCCCUCCUCCUCCCUCUUCCUCCUCCUUCCUCCUCCCCCCUCCUCCUCCCUCCUCCCCUUCCUUCUUUCUCCCUCCUCCCUCCUUCUUCCUCCUCCCCCCUCCUCCUCCCUCCUCCUUCAUUCUUCCUCUUCCUCCCUCUUCCUUCCUCCUCCUCCCUCCUCCUCCUCCUCCCUCAUUCUUCCUCUUCCUCCUCUUCCUCCUCCCCUCCUCCCUCCUUCUUCCUCCUCCUCCUCCUCUUCCUCCUCCUUCCUCCUCCUCCUCCUCCCUCCUUCUUCCUCUCCUUCCUCCUCCUCCUCCUCCUCCCUCUUCCUCCUCCUUCCUCCUCCCCCCUCCUCCUCCUCCUCCCCCCUCCUCCUCCUCCUCCCUCAUUCUUCCUCUUCCUCCCUCUUCCUCCUCCUCCUCCCUCUUCCUUCCUCCUCCUUCCUCUCCUCCUCCUCCUCCCUCCUCCUCCUCCCCCCUCCUCCUCCCUCUUCCUCCUCCUUCCUCCUCCCUCCUUCCUCCUCCUCCUCCCUCCUUCUUCCUCCUCCUUCCUCCUCCCUCCUCCUCCUCCUCCCUCAUUCUUCCUCUUCCUCCCUCUUCUUCCUCCUCCUCCUUCCUCCUCCUCCUCCUCCCCUCCUCCUCCUCUUCCUCCUCCUCCUCCUCCCCUUCCUUCUUCCUCCUCCUCCCUCCUUCUUCCUCCUCCUUCCUCCUCCCCUCCUCCCUCCUCCUCCCUCAUUCUUCCUCUUCCUCCCUCUUCCUUCUCCUCCUCCUCCUCCCCUCCUCCUCCUUCCUCCUCCUCCCUCCUCUUCCUCCUCCCCUCCUCCUCCCUCUUCCUCCUCCUUCCUCCUCCUCCUCCUCCCUCCUUCUUCCUCCUCCUCCUUCCUCCUCCUCCUCCCCUUCCUUCUUCCUCCUCCUCCCUCCUCCCCUUCCUUCUUUCUCCCUCCUCCCUCCUUCCUCCUCCCCUCCUCCUCCCUCCUCCUCCUCCUCCUUCAUUCUUCCUCUUCCUCCCUCUUCCUUCCUCCUCCUCCUCCUCCUCCUCCUCCCUCCUUCUUCUUCCUCCUCCUUCCUCCUCCUCCUCCCCUUCCUUCCUCCUCCUCCCUCCUCCUCCUCUUCUUCCUCCUUCCUCCCUCCUCCCUCCUCCUCCUCUUCCUCCUCCUCCUCUCCUCCUCCUCCCUCCUCCUCCUUCUUCUUCCUCUCCUCCUCCUCCUCCCUCCUCCUCCUCCUCCUCCUCCUCCUUCUUCCUCCCUCUUCCUCCUCUCCCUCCUCCUCCUCCUUCCUCCUCCUCCCUCCUCCUCCUCCUCCUCCCCCCUCCUCCUCAGGCAGGGAGGGAUGCCUCUCCAUUCCCCUGCCCACCUCUAGGGAAACUGUCCUCCCUUGAAUUCUCUCUUUGGCCU
rnacentral:lncRNA from 1 species